rnacentral:rRNA from 1 species
GAAGGUGGCCUGUGAGGGUUGCUGGAGGUAUCAGAAGUGCGAAUGCUGACAUAAGUAACGAUAAAGCGGGUGAAAAGCCCGCUCGCCGGAAGACCAAGGGUUCCUGUCCAACGUUAAUCGGGGCAGGGUGAGUCGACCCCUAAGGCGAGGCCGAAAGGCGUAGUCGAUGGGAAACGGGUUAAUAUUCCCGUACUUGGUGUUACUGCGAAGGGGGGACGGAGAAGGCUAUGUUGGCCGGGCGACGGUUGUCCCGGUUUAAGCGUGUAGGUGUGUGUUCCAGGUAAAUCCGGUUCACUUUAACACUGAGGCGUGAUGACGAGGCACUACGGUGCUGAAGCAACAAAUGCCCUGCUUCCAGGAAAAGCCUCUAAGCAUCAGGUAACAUCAAAUCGUACCCCAAACCGACACAGGUGGUCAGGUAGAGAAUACCAAGGCGCUUGAGAGAACUCGGGUGAAGGAACUAGGCAAAAUGGUGCCGUAACUUCGGGAGAAGGCACGCUGACAUGUAGGUGAAGUGAUUUACUCAUGGAGCUGAAGUCAGUCGAAGAUACCAGCUGGCUGCAACUGUUUAUUAAAAACACAGCACUGUGCAAACACGAAAGUGGACGUAUACGGUGUGACGCCUGCCCGGUGCCGGAAGGUUAAUUGAUGGGGUCAGCGCAAGCGAAGCUCCUGAUCGAAGCCCCGGUAAACGGCGGCCGUAACUAUAACGGUCCUAAGGUAGCGAAAUUCCUUGUCGGGUAAGUUCCGACCUGCACGAAUGGCGUAAUGAUGGCCAGGCUGUCUCCACCCGAGACUCAGUGAAAUUGAACUCGCUGUGAAGAUGCAGUGUACCCGCGGCAAGACGGAAAGACCCCGUGAACCUUUACUAUAGCUUGACACUGAACAUUGAGCCUUGAUGUGUAGGAUAGGUGGGAGGCUUUGAAGUGUGGACGCCAGUCUGCAUGGAGCCGACCUUGAAAUACCACCCUUUAAUGUUUGAUGUUCUAACGUGGACCCGUAAUCCGGGUUGCGGACAGUGUCUGGUGGGUAGUUUGACUGGGGCGGUCUCCUCCUAAAGAGUAACGGAGGAGCACGAAGGUUGGCUAAUCCUGGUCGGACAUCAGGAGGUUAGUGCAAUGGCAUAAGCCAGCUUGACUGCGAGCGUGACGGCGCGAGCAGGUGCGAAAGCAGGUCAUAGUGAUCCGGUGGUUCUGAAUGGAAGGGCCAUCGCUCAACGGAUAAAAGGUACUCCGGGGAUAACAGGCUGAUACCGCCCAAGAGUUCAUAUCGACGGCGGUGUUUGGCACCUCGAUGUCGGCUCAUCACAUCCUGGGGCUGAAGUAGGUCCCAAGGGUAUGGCUGUUCGCCAUUUAAAGUGGUACGCGAGCUGGGUUUAGAACGUCGUGAGACAGUUCGGUCCCUAUCUGCCGUGGGCGCUGGAGAACUGAGGGGGGCUGCUCCUAGUACGAGAGGACCGGAGUGGACGCAUCACUGGUGUUCGGGUUGUCAUGCCAAUGGCACUGCCCGGUAGCUAAAUGCGGAAGAGAUAAGUGCUGAAAGCAUCUAAGCACGAAACUUGCCCCGAGAUGAGUUCUCCCUGAGACUUUAAGUCUCCUGAAGGAACGUUGAAGACGACGACGUUGAUAGGCCGGGUGUGUAAGCGCAGCGAUGCGUUGAGCUAACCGGUACUAAUGAACCGUGAGGCUUAACCUUACAACGCCGAAG